rnacentral:rRNA from 1 species
UCCGUAGGCGGAUUAAUAAGUCAGAGGUGAAAUCCCACAGCUUAACUGUGGAACUGCCUUUGAUACUGUUAGUCUUGAGUUAUAUGGAAGUAGAUAGAAUGUGUAGUGUAGCGGUGAAAUGCUUAGAGAUUACACAGAAUACCGAUUGCGAAGGCAGUCUACUACGUAUAUACUGACGCUAAUGGACGAAAGCGUGGGGAGCGAACAGGAUUAGAUACCCUGGUAGUCC